AUUGAACGCUGGCGGCAGGCCUAACACAUGCCAGUCGAGCGGAUGAAGGGAGCUUGCUCCUGGAUUCAGCGGCGGACGGGUGAGUAAUGCCUAGGAAUCUGCCUGGUCGUGGGGGAUAACGUCCGGAAACGGGCGCUAAUACCGCAUACGUCCUGAGGGAGAAAGUGGGGGAUCUUCGGACCUCACGCUAUCAGAUGAGCCUAGGUCGGAUUAGCUAGUUGGUGGGGUAAAGGCCUACCAAGGCGACGAUCCGAAACUGGUCUGAGAGGAUGAUCAGUCACACUGGAACUGGGACACGGUCCAGACUCCUACGGGAGGCAGCAGUGGGGAAUAUUGGACAAUGGGCGAAAGCCUGAUCCAGCCAUGCCGCGUGUGUGAAGAAGGUCUUCGGAUUGUAAAGCACUUUAAGUUGGGAGGAGGGGCAGUAAGUUAAUACCUUGCUGUUUUGACGUUACCAACAGAAUAAGCACCGGCUAACUUCGUG
rnacentral:rRNA from 1 species